AGCGAACGCUGGCGGCAUGCCUAACACAUGCAAGUCGAACGACACCUUCGGGUCUAGUGGCGCACGGGUGCGUAACGCGUGGGAACCUGCCCUUAGGUUCGGAAUAACUCCCCGACAGGGGUGCUAAUACCGGGUAAUGUCUUCGGACCAAAGAUUCAUCGCCUUUGGAUGGGCGCGCGUUGGAUUAGCUAGUUGGUAGGGUAAAAGCCUACCAAGGCGACGCUCCAUAGCUGGUCUGAGAGGAUGAUCAGCCACACUGGGACGAAGACACGGCCCGGACUCUUACAGAAGGCAGCAGUGGGUAAUAUUGGACAAUCGGCGAGAGCCUGAUCCAGCAAGGCCGCGUGAGCGAUGAAGUCCUUAGGGUUGUAAAGCUCGUUUACCCGGGAUGAUAAUGACAGUACCGGGAGAAUAAGCACCGGCUAACUCCGUG
rnacentral:rRNA from 1 species